CCUACGGGAGGCAGCAGUGAGGAAUAUUGGUCAAUGGACGAGAGCCUGAACCAGCCAAGUCGCGUGAAGGAUGACUGCCCUAGGGGUUGUAGACUUCUUUUAUAUGGGAAUAAAAUGUUCCACGUGUGGGAUUUUGUAUGGACCCUAUGAAUAAGGAUCGGCUAACUCCGUGCCAGCCGCCGCGGUAAUACGGAGGGUCCGGUCGUUAUCCGGAUUUAUUGGGGUUAAAGGGAGAGGAGGUGGAUAUUUAAGUCAGGUGUGAAAGUUUGCGGCUUAACCGUAAAAUUGCAGUUGAAACUGGCAGUCUUGAGUACAGUAGAGGUGGGCGGAAUUCGUGGUGUAGCGGUGAAAUGCUUAGAGAUCACGAAGAACUCCGAUGGCGAAGGCAGCUCACUGGACUGCAACUGACACUGAGGCUCGAAAGUGUGGGUAUCAAACAGGAUUAGAUACCCCUGUAGUC
rnacentral:rRNA from 1 species